CAGGCGCGAAAACUUUGCAAUGCGGGAAACCGUGACAAGGGAACUCUGAGUGCCCGUUAAAUCGGGCUGUCCAUCGGUUUAAAUAACCGGUGAAGAAAGGGCCGGGCAAGACCGGUGCCAGCCGCCGCGGUAAUACCGGCGGCUCGAGUGGUGGCCACUAUUACUGGGCUUAAAGCGUUCGUAGCUGGUUUGUUAAGUCUCUGGGGAAAUCUUCCGGCUUAACCGGAAGGCGUCUCAGGGAUACUGGCAGACUAGGGACCGGGAGAGGUGAGAGGUACUCCAGGGGUAGGAGUGAAAUCCUGUAAUCCUUGGGGGACCACCUGUGGCGAAGGCGUCUCACCAGAACGGCUCCGACAGUGAGGGACGAAAGCUGGGGGAGCAAACCGGAUUAGAUACCCGGGUAGUCCCAGCUGUAAACGAUGCGCGUUAGGUGUAUCGGUGACCACGAGUCACCGAGGUGCCGAAGAGAAAUCGUGAAACGUGCCGCCUGGGAAGUACGGUCGCAAGGCUGAAACUUAAAGGAAUUGGCGGGGGAGCAC
rnacentral:rRNA from 1 species